AUAAAAAGACGGGUCAGAGGUGUGAGAGAUUCCAGUUGUUAAUGUGCUUCAAAUUAAUUAAUCGUGUUCUUUGAGAAGCUUAAUUGAAAAAUGUGUAUUAGUUUUGUUUCGAUUUUAUUGUUUUGUUGAAGUAAAUAAUGAAAUGUUGCCUCUUGACAUGGGGCGAAAAACUGUAUCUCCAAUAUGACAACAACUUAUAGUUUCUGUACUGCUGAGGAUAGGGAAUCACUCAAUAAGAGAACGCGCUCUUCUUAAAGGAGUUUCACUUUACGUAGUGGUCCAGAUCUCCCAAAAAAUAAAGCAAAACUCAUCUAUGAUUUCUUUAAAGCGGGCAAAUUGUGGAUGAAAAAAGAAGACCCGGUCUAGACUAGUACGGAAAGUUAUGGCAAUUACCACUGCGAAACGCAGGACUUUUUUGUGGGAGCUCAAUAAAUGGGUUCAUGAUGCUGGCGUAAAAAUUUUUGAGCAAACUUUGCGAAAGAGAUUGGAAGAGCCAACUUUAAAUAACAAUGUUAGACAUCUUCGUUCACCUUUACGCAAGAUAGCACCCCACCCCAUGCCACAUCGCGAAAUCCAUAAAGAAUAAGGUUUUGUUUCACACAAAACCUUAAAAAUUACGUUAGAGGAAAAUGUCUCUUUUACUUCCAGGGCCAGGAAACUCGUCUGAUUUGAACAGUGUGGAAUGGAGUAAAGAGGCUUCUUUACAAAGAACACAACACUAAUCGAUCAAUUUUAAUGGAUAACAUUAAAAAAAAUUGGCGUGACGUGCCUGAGAUAAAAGGGUGCAUCAUAGCUUGUUGCAAAGCAACAAACAACGGGUGUCUACGCUAAAAAUUAAUAUAAAAAAAAAUUAUAUGCGUAUAUAUCUUUCUAAGAUCUACUGCUACAAUAUUAUAUAAACAUUUUUUAUGAAUAUAUCAGUUCUCCUACCGAAAAAUAUAUUUAAAUAAAAACUUUAUCAAAUUU